AAAAGCGAUCUGACAAGCGAGGGACCAAUGAAACGGGACCUUACCCCCGAGGAGGUCAGUCAAGGGGGCGACUACAGCAGAGAAAUUUGGGCAAAACCCACGAUAAUAACCAGUCAUUCCCAAAAAUCUCAUCACUUCCUUCUUACUAGUUGGAGCAGGAAAACGGUCAAUAGCCUCGACUUUGGCGCGCACGGGCCGGACCUCACCACGGCCAACCACCUUGCCCAGGUAUGUGACCGUGGCUUGUCCAAACUCACAUUUAGCCAGGUUAACAGUAAGGUUUGCAUCUACUAGACGAGCAAACAAGGCUCUGAUCCGCGCCAGAUGUUGAGGCCAAGUGUCACUGAACACAAUGACAUCAUCUAGAUACGCAGCGCACCCCUCGAGACCAGACAGCACGCAGUUCAUUAACCGCUGAACAGUUGCGGGGGUGUUACGCAUACCAAAAGCCAUGACGGAAUAAGAGUAUAAACCCUGUGGGGUUACAAACGCAGAAAUCUCUUUCGCUCUCUGCGUCAACGGGACUUGCCAGUAACCCUUGAGGAGGUCAAAUUUACUGACAAAUUGUGCCGAACCAACCUGGUCUAUGCAGUCCUCCAUUCUCGGGAGAGGGUAGCAGUCCGCUUUUGUUACAGCAUUAACUUUCCGAUAAUCUGUACAAAACCUAUACGAGCCAUCCGGCUUCCCAAUUAGCAAGCAUGGGCUAGACCAGCUAGAAAAACUGGGCUGCGCAAUGUUAUUUUCAAGCAUAUACUUCAAUUCUUUAAGCCUUGCUUCACCCACAUCAAUAUCAUGCUCCACAAGCGUAGUUCGAGAAGGAAUAUCCGGAAAGAGAGAUAGAUGAGACUUAAUCAAACAGACAAGGUCAGACUGUUUGGAACUGGUCAAAUGCGAAAACUGUGUUUCAAGGUUCCCAAGGAACUGGGAAUUAUUUAACCUACCCCUAAAUACCUCCUCAGCUGGCACUACUUCAUCUUCCCCUGCGUCUACCACCCACGGAGGCUGAGAAGGGAGGUCAGCCGUGGAGCUGGCAAAUGCAGGAGGAUCAGAGGGGUUCAGCACCGAGGACAAGGCUACAGGCUUAACAGGGACAGAUAAGGAAGCCUCAGCAUUCGGCCCGGCUGACAACGGCUCGGAAGGGCGAGCAUAAUACGGCUUCAGCAUGUUAAUAUGGCACAGUUGAACAUGCUUUUUCCUAUCCGGAGUGUUAAUCAAAUAGUUUAGGUCUGAAACCUUCUGCUCCACAACGUAAGGUCCACUAAACCUAGCCUGUAAGGCUGAACCAAGAAUGGGCAGCAAUGCCAAGACUUUAUCUCCAGGAUCAAAGUGGCGGACUUUAGCCUUCUGAUCGAACCAACCCUUCAUUCUCUUCUGUGAGCUUUCUAGGUUUUUCUUAGCCAAUGCACACGCCCUAUACAACCGAAGGCGAAAAUCAUUCACGUAGCUCAAAAGGUUAGCCGGAGGCGUUUCUGGAAGCCACUGAUCUCUAAUCAGCCCAAGGGGGCCUCUAACUUGGUGUCCAAACACCAAUUCAGUAGGACUAAAACCUGUGCUUUCCUGGGACACCUCACGGGCAGCCAUAAGCAACCAGGGGAGUCCCUCCUCCCAAUCUUUCUCCAGCUCAUGGCAGUACGCACGUAGCAUAGACUUCAAGGUUUGAUGGAAGCGUUCGAGGGCGCCCUGGCUUUCCGCGUGAUAGGCACUAGAUACGUUGUGCUUUAUUCUGAGCUGCCGAAGAACUUGGGCGAAAACACGGGACAUAAAAUUGGUUCCCUGGUCUGUCUGAACCACUUUGGGAAUGCCAAAAACUGUUAUAAACUUGGUCAGAGUUUUCAAAACGGCUUUAGCCGUAAUCGUACGCAACGGCACAGCCUCCGGAUAGUGUGUAGCUUGGCACAUCAUAGUGAGCAAAUACGUGUUUCCAGCUUUGGACCGAGGAAGCGGGCCAACACAAUCAACAAUAAGAUGUUCGAACGGUUCACCAAUUACGGGGAUCGGAAACAACGGCGCAGGUGGAAUGAUUUUAUUAGGUUUACCAGUGAGCUGGCAAACAUGACAAGUUUUACAAUACUGCACUACAUCCGUUUUCAAUCCCACCCAGAAAAACUGGCGAAGAACACGAUCGUAUGUUUUAUUUACUCCUAAAUGUCCAGCUAUACCAUCAUGGGAGACACUCAAAAUCUGCUGCCUGUAAGGCGAGGGAAUAACUACCUGAUAUCCUAAUUCUACAGUGACGAAGUACAUGUAGGCUACAUAGUUACCACCACCACUGUAGUCUACCCAAACUGAAAGCAAAACUAAAA